AUGGCCUCCCGCAGGCGACACCGCUCAGGUCGCUCAGCCGUCCCAGAAGUGCCCUGUAUAAAGUUUUAUAGGCCAUAUCAAGUCACUGAAAAGUGAAGUUAAAAGUAGGAAAGGCGAGGCUGACGCUGCGGCGGGUAAAGCGCAGCCUGCAGUGAUGACAUCCCAUCUGGGCGCUGGUUCGAGUCCUGGCUGUUCCACUUCUGAUCCAGCUCUCUGCUAUGGCCUAGGAAAGCAGUAGAAGACGGCCCCCAAGCCUUUGGGCCCCUGUUCCCACGUGGGAGACGUGGAAGAAGCUCCUUACUUCGAUGGGCGCAUCUCCAGCCAUUGUGGCCAUUUGGGCAUCUAGGACAGUCCCUGGCAUGCGGAUUGUACCUGCUGACAUGUCCCCCAGGAAAACUAAUAUGUUCAAAUUGGACCCAAGACAGAUGAUUACAGUUUACUUUCCAUACCAGUGACAACAGAAGCAGACCAGCUUUGCCAAAACAGGAAAAUGCUAUGGACUCUCUCCCUGUCUUAAUGAAAUGUGUGCCUCUUCAGUAAGUCAUUUCUAACAUUUAUACAUUUCUAGCAAGAAGGAGACUAGUGUGAGGUAAGUAAUGGAUCUAGAAUACAAAAUUUAAGAAAGAAUUCAUUCCCUGCAUCACACAGUUGCCAACUCCAUACUCGCAUGUCCCUGACAGUGGGUGCUUCCUUAAAUUUUGCACUCGUGGAGCAAGUGUUUAGCCCAGCAGUUAAGAUGACCAUGUCCCAUAUCACAGAAUGUGGAUUUGAUCCCCAGCUCACUCUCCUGGGAGACAAGUGAUAGAUCUGCUAAAGUGAUGGAUCUCCUUCCUGCCACCCACAUGGAAGCUCUGCAUUUGAGUUCCUAGUUCCUGGCUUCAGCCCAAUCCAGUCCUGGCCAUUCUGAGAAUUUGAGGAGAAAACCAGUGCAUAAGAGCUGCCUGUUUCCAUUUAUCUGUCCCUCCAUCUUAUCUCUAUGUCUCUCUAUCACUCAAAUACUUUUUUAAAAAUUUGUCACAUCCUUGGCAUUUUACUUGCCUCACUCUAAACUAGGUCUUGGAUUUCCUAGUAGCAGCACUGGCACCUGCCAUGGGAGAGCAUAGGGCUCUCUUGCAAGAGGGUAGCUGUCCUGAAGAAUGUCAGAUAAGCCUCUAUGCUUCCAGUGAUAUAUGUUUCCUAGACUACAAGGCAAGAGAAACUAAUAUAUGGAAAUGCACAAGGGCCGGACAAUGCCAUCAUUUGGAAAGCAUGAUAGUCACCCCUCUCCUCAGCUUCCCACCCUUCCAUUGCCCCAAUGUCUGUGCCACAGGGGAGAAGUAGAAGAAGAAGGGAUGGUAACAGAGCUGACCUUACCUCCACCCCAGCUCUGAGCACCAAGGUACCUUAGAGGAGGGAGUGAGGGUGUGGCAAAGGACUUUGCAGCAUGCCCAACUUCAACCCUACUCUGUUAGAAACCCCAGCCUAAUUGCAACAGAAAACCAUAGGUUAGAAUUGUAGUAAUGCAGUUCAUGAACUCGGGAAAUGAUCAGACAUGGGUCCAAGUUAGAUGGGAACGCUUUCUACACCACUCCCAUGUAGAAUGUGUUGCCCUAUCUCCUCAUUGUAGGGAACAGAAGUGAAGAAAUGUUUCAGGGUUUGAAUGAUCCAAAUCACACAUAUGCAAAUAGAAUCAAAGGGGUACAAAUAAACAUCCACACAGGCUCUAAAGACUUCAGAUGGUGUGAACCACUGGGCAUAAAUUGCAUACUGAAAUCUACAGAGCCUAGUAAUGACUGAGUCUGUCAGUGAUGCCCUGCAAAACUGGAGUCAGGGUUCCCAGGAAUCCCAGUAACACAGUGAGAUUGGGUUCCUCCUUCCUCCUGCCAACUCACGGGAUUGGGGAUCUACUUCCCCAGCUCCAAAGUGAUGGUUCCUGGGAUAAGGCUGAGAAGGAAUGGAAAGUCCAAAACAGGAAUACUAUGGGCCAAGGGUACAGCAGAUACUGCGGCUACUGCGGGUACUCUCACAAAUUCUGGGCAAGCAGCCUACUCACUCUCUGUAAUUCUCCAAACUCCAAGGAGUAGCUGUUUCCACUGCUAUCACCUGUAGUUUCCAAACAAGAUCUCUGCCCUAGCAGGUCCACUGAGAAAGAGGCCAAGGACAAACAGUACUUAGGGGUGUGACCUCAGCAAAGUCAGUUAGCCUUUCUCAUCCUCCAUGUUUCCACCUGUAAGAAAGGCACCGAAGCCCACCACAAGGCUUGGGGCUCAGUAAGUAUUAGCUGCCAUCUCUCACCCUCAUGGUGAAAAUCGGGAUUUCUGUUUUGCUUAGAGACAUAUUUCAAGCACGAAGCCAAGGGCUUAGCUCAAAACCUGGUUGUGAUAAAUCCAUUCCUUCUGUUCCCUACCAGCCUCCUUCAGCAGAUCCACACAAACACACUAUUUUCUUCAACUGGUCCAGGCACACUUUAGGCCGAAGCAGUCUCUGUGUUCUAAAAGGGUGAAGACAUUGCCAAGAUUUAAAAUUCCCUGAGUAUUUCAUCCCAAGACCUCAGCCUGGGGCAGAGAUGGAGCCCUGGAGAGAGAAAAAAAAAAAAGGACCUGGGAACCUUGAAGGAGAAAGGAUGAAAACCCAGGAGACAUUCAGCCUGGAGCUGCCUCGAGGAGGGUAGAAAGGGAGCCGGUCCUCUCCCUGCGCCUUCUCCCCUCUACACCACACUCUGCACUGGAUGACAGGAGACUCACAAAAGGAUGGGAACGGGAGGCAGGUGAAGGAGGGAGGAAGACAGUCCUGAGACCCCCACACCAUUCAAUUUAGUAAACAGUUUCUAAAACACAUUCCCACUCUCGAAACGUAAGCUGGGACAGUCUGUGUUUCCAUCUCCAGCUUGUGUGUUUGGCUAAUUAUCACCUUCUCUAGGCCCGGAGACCCCAGAAGACAAGUUAUUACACCAACUUUCAUUGAGUAAAGAAGUCUAAUCCUCCAGAAACUUCAGACCCACGUUUUAAAAA